GGAAGCAUGCCUGAGAUAAAGGGCUACCUUGAUAGGGUAAAUAACGGAGGUUAAACUCCUCCUGCUUCUUA
rnacentral:tRNA from 1 species